UACGGAGGGUGCAAACGUUGCUCGGAAUCAUUGGGCGUAAAGCGCACGUAGGCGGACUGUUAAGUCGGACGUGAAAUCCCUCAGCUUAACUGAGGAAGUGCAUUCGAAACUGGCAGUCUUGAGUACGGGAGAGGGUCGCGGAAUUCCCGGUGUAGAGGUGAAAUUCGUAGAUAUCGGGAGGAACACCAGUGGCGAAGGCGGCGGCCUGGACCGAUACUGACGCUGAGGUGCGAAAGCGGUGGGGAGCAAA
rnacentral:rRNA from 1 species